CCAGCACCACUGAGAGCCACAGCAGGUGAGAAUACUAAGCAUGGUAUCAGGUUCAACUUUAGAGGCGCUUCCCUUGAAGGUACUGUGCAGACAGACAGCAAUCCCCCUCCCCAUUCGCCAGACACCCUUCACCUGAAAUCAAGACAUGUGCUUCAUUGCACUUAUUAUAAUUUAUACUUGUUUUAUGUAUGUGUCUUUUUUUGUUAAUAUCAUGUUUUUCAUACUAAAUGAGGGUUCUAUGGUAAGAAGAAACAUGCCAAUUGCUUUUACCAAAGUCCAGAUACAUUCUGGCCCAGAGAAGAAUCUCAGCAAUAUUUGCUGCAAAGCACGUUGAAAACAAAGCCCCAGAGGAGGACACAGGCUUUGGAGGCCACCAGAAUGUGACUCUAAUCCCACUCUUUUACUGAUAAGCUGAAUGACUUCCUUUUCCUCAUCAGUAAAAUGGAGAUAUUUUAUAACUUAUAGGGUUACAGUAGACAUUCAAUGAAAGGUAUCUCUUACUAAUUUUAUUUCUCCCAGUUUUCUCAGCAAUGGCACUAAUUAGAAUCUGACUCAUUUUUUUUACAGUGAACUUGGGUAAAAAUGUUGAAAUGUGAUAAAUUAAAUUAAAAUGAUUGCAAUAUAAAAAUAUAAUUUGUUAAUUUGUGUGGCUUCACAUACAAUAGAAAUAUCAUGUCACAGAAAGUGGUAUGGUCUUAGGUAAAUCCAAAUAAAAUGACUCCUAGUCUCAGUCCAUCUAGAGCAAUUAGAGAAAGAAAUUGGCCAAGGAAUUGUUUUGAUGCUCCGAUUAGAUAUGGUUAUUUGAUUGCCUUCCAAAUUGAGAAGCAUUAAUCAGAAGCAACAUGACAUUGUUUUUAAAUAUAAUAAGGGUGCAGUGGUUUCCAGGCACGUGACCUCCCUUUCAAAUGUAUAUAUUAACAUCCUCAUGCCCACGUGAUGAUAUUAGGACAUGGCGUCUUUGGGAGAUGAUAAGGACACUGCUCUCAUGAAUAGAAACAUAAAAGAAGCCAGAGAGAGACCCUUCGUCGCUUCCAUCAUGUGAGGUUACAGAGAGAACACAGCUAUCCGUGAGGAGCCAUGCCUUCACCAGAUGUGGCACCUGCUGGUGCCAUAACCUUGGAUGUUUCUUAGCCUCUUGAACUGUGAGAAAUAAAUGUUUGUUGUCUAUAAGUCACUCAGUUUAUGGUCAAACAAAGUAGGACAAAAGGCAAAAAAUGAGUGUAAUUUCUCAAAACCCACAUCCCCUGGGAGAAGCAAUACACCUCAAACCAUUCUUUAUUUUUUUCAGUGAAUUCAAAUAAUCAUCAGAAAAGCUAAAAAUAAGAUCCAUGUUUCUUUCAAUAUCUAACUUCAACAGCGUCAGGUACAUCUUAACUGCAAGAUUCUGUGUUUCGUGGGAGAAAUCUCUACACUUUGGAAAAUGACUUUAUUGGAUUUAUUGCCUGAAUAGCUCAUCUAGACAGUGCAUGAUAAAAGCCCAAUGCUGGAAUGGAUAAGAUUAUGGUUCAAAUUAAUGGACCAAGAAGGAAGUAGGAAGGUUGCUUAUUAAGGGCUUUCCUGUGAAGGAUCUAGAGAUCUAAACUGAAUGCAGUGACACUAAUAAGCGACUAAUGUCAGCCUACAAUUCUUCAGCUUUGUUAAUGAUUUUCCUCUUAAAAACCAUAGUCCCUCCACACCUUGAACCCAAACAUCUUCCCAUAGAAAAAUCAUUUUUAACAUGCAGAUUUCAUAGUAGAGUUAGAUUUAGGACAAAGAAAAAGAAUGGAGAACAAAAAUAAUCACCAUCAUUUUUAUGUACACCCCAUGGGCUUCAUAGAAAUGAGGAUUUUGUUUCAGUAAGUUCAUCAAAACUCAAAAAUAAAAAGGAUUCUUGUGAUUGUAACCACAUAGAAGAACCUGGAAGAUAUGAUGCUAAGUGAAAUAAGCCUGGCUUAGAAGACAGAUGCUACCCAAUCUCACAUAUAUGUGGAAUCUAAAAAUAUCAAACUCAUAGAAGCAGAAAAUAGAAUGGUGAUUGCCAGUACCUGAGAUAUGGGGAAAAUGGAGAUGUUUGUUAUAAAGUACAAACUGUCAGUUAUAAGUAAACUAAGUUCUAGGGGUCUAAUGAAUAGCAUAGUAACUAUAGAUAAUAAUACUGUAUUGUUUACCUGAAACACACACACACACACACACACAGUAAUUUGUGUUAAUUUAACACAGUGUUAAUUUGAUUUUGGUAAUCAUUUAACAAUGUAUACAUAUAUUAAAUAUGUUAAUAUUUUAUACAUAUAUUAGAUAAUCAUGUUGUACAUCUUGAAUAGAUGCAUUUUUAAAUUUGUCACUUAUACCUCAAUAAAACUGGAAAAAAAGACCUAAAAACAGA
rnacentral:lncRNA from 1 species